CCUACGGGAGACAGCAGUGAGGAAUAUUGGUCAAUGGGCGGGAGCCUGAACCAGCCAAGUCGCGUGAGGGAAGACGGUCCUAUGGAUUGUAAACCUCUUUAGGCGGGGAGCAAUGCCGGGCACGCGUGCCCGGAGGGAGAGUACCCGCAGAAUAAGCAUCGGCUAACUCCGUGCCAGCCGCCGCGGUAAUACGGAGGAUGCGAGCGUUAUCCGGAUUUAUUGGGUUUAAAGGGUGCGUAGGCGGAUUUUUAAGUCAGCGGUAAAAUGUCCGGGCUCAACCCGGGCCGGCCGUUGAAACUGGGGAUCUUGAGUGGGCGAGAAGUAUGCGGAAUGCGUGGUGUAGCGGUGAAAUGCAUAGAUAUCACGCAGAACUCCGAUUGCGAAGGCAGCAUACCGGCGCCCGACUGACGCUGAGGCACGAAAGCGUGGGGAUCGAACAGGAUUAGAUACCCUUGUAGUC
rnacentral:rRNA from 1 species